AGCGAACGCUGGCGGCGUGCCUAACACAUGCAAGUCGAGCGAAGGCAUGAGUGUAGCAAUACACUUAUGUACUUAGCGGCGGACGGGUGAGUAACACGUGGAUAAUCUGCCCUGAGGACCGGGACAACUCUUGGAAACGGGAGCUAAUACCGGAUGUGACCCACGAUGCUUGAGGGCAUUGGGGUAAAAGGCGGCCUGCAAGGGCUGUUGCUUCGGGAUGAGUCACGACCCAUCAGGUAGUUGGGGGUA
rnacentral:rRNA from 1 species